rnacentral:rRNA from 1 species
UAGUCAUAUGCUAAUCUCAAAGAUUAAGCCAUGCAUAUCUAAGUAUAAGCUCGCUUAUACGGCGAAACUGCGAACAGCUCAGUAUAACAGUUAUAAUUUAUUUGAUGAUUCUUUACUAGUCGGCAUAACACUGGUAAAUCUAGAGCUAAUACGUGCACUACUUCGGUAGGCAUUUGUUAGCAUUCAAACCAACGGGAACUUCGGUUCUCUCCUUGGUGAUUCUAGACAACUUAGCAGAUCCUUCUGUUGGGUGACAGAUCAUUCAAAUUUCUGCCCUAUCAACUUUCGAUUGUAGGAUAGAGGCCUACAAUGGUGAUGACGGGUAACGGAGGAUUAGGGUUUGACUCCGGAGAAUGAGCCUGAGAGACGGCUCAUACUUCCAAGGAAGGCAGCAGGCGCGAAAAUUACCCAAUGCACAUUGUGCGAGGUAGUGACGAGAAAUAGUGGGGUCUUAGCCUUUUGGCAGAGACCAUUGCAAUGAGUACAACCUAAAAAACUUAACGAGCAGCAACUGGAGGGCAAGUCUGGUGCCAGCAGCCGCGGUAAUUCCAGCUCCAGUAGCAUAUACUAAAAUUGUUGCAGUUAAAAAGCUCGUAGUUGAAUUUCAGGUUGAGCGGCUAUCUUCGGACGGCUAAGCUUGACCUUAUCUGCGUGUGUUUGGUCUUCGGACCUGACGUGCGUACUUUACCAUGAGGAAAUUGGAGCGUUCAAAGCAGGUUAAUUCUGUUGAACAUGCCAGCAUGGAAUAUCGGGACAAGACUUCGGUCUCUGUUUCGUUGGUUUGCAGAUACCAGUAAUGGUUAAUAGGGGUGGUCGGGGCCAUUAGUAUUGGGGGGCGAGAGGUGAAAUUCGUAGACCCUUCCAAGACUCUCUUAUGCGAAAGCAUUUGGCAAGGACAUUCUCGUUAAUCAAGAACGAAAGCUGGGGGAUAGAAGGCGAUUAGACACCACCGUAUUCCCAGCCAUAAACUAUGCCAGCUAGGGAUUGGAGUUUCCGAUCUUUAGGUCUCUUCAGGAUCUUUUGGGAAACCAAAGCUUUUGGGUUCUGGGGGGAGUAUGGUCGCAAGGCUGAAACUUAAAGGAAUUGACGGAAGGGCACCACCAGGCGUGGAGUCUGCGGCUUAAUUUGACUCAACACGGUGAAGCUUACCAGGUCCAGACACGUUAAGGAUUGACAGAUUGAUAGCUCUUUCAUGAUCACGUGGUUGGUGGUGCAUGGCCGUUCUUAGUUCGUGGGGUGACUUGUCUGCUCUACUGCGAUAACGAACGAGACCUCCGCGGUUAAAUGCUUCCCAUGCUUUUUGCAGAAGGGAGCUCUUAGUCGGACUGUUAGUUUUUUAAGCUAAAGGAAGGUGGAGGCAAUAACAGGUCUGUGAUGCCCUUAGAUGUCCUGGGCCGCACGCGUACUACAAUGGCGGAUUCAGCGGGAUGACUUGGCCGAAAGGCUUGGCGAAUCCUGUGAAAAUCUGUCGUGGCUGGGAUCGGAGGUUGUAAUUUUCCUCCGUGAACCAGGAAUGCCUAGUAAGCGCGGGUCACAAACCCGCGUUGAUUACGUCCCUGCCCUUUGUACACACCGCCCGUCGCUACUACCGAUUGAAUGUGUUGGCGAGUUCUUCAGAGCGCGUUAUUCGAAGCAAUUUGAAUGUAUGUGUGAAGUUGCGCGAGCUGCCGCAUUUAGAGGAAGUAAAAGUCGUAACAAGGUAUCC